AGCAUCCCAGACCAAACUCCCCUUGCAAGGAGGGUAUGGGUUUUCAAAUUAUGGUAAAGCAAAAGACAAAUCUCUCAAGUAAAAAUAGACUUGCCUUAAUAGAGAUUUCUUAAAUGUAAUUAAUGAAAAAAAAGAAAAAAUUAAAAUUGUUACACUCAAAUUCCAAUUAACCACUUCUACUUUUACAUUUUUACAUAUUAAUGACAUAAAUUAUGAAGGUGUUUCAAGAAUAUUUUUCUCAAUAUGAAGCAUUAAGUAUAAUGAAAGGAUUGUAACGCAUAACCAGUGGAAGAGCUCUCAUUCUAGUGGAUGAAAUUGAAGAUGCGUAUACAUAAUGUGUCUUAGUUAGGGUUUCUAUUGCUGUAACAAAACACCAUUACCAAAAGCAAGCUGGGGAGGAAAGGGUUUAUUCAGCUUACACUUCCACACUGCUGUUCAUCGCCAAAGGAAGUCAGGACAGGAACUCAAGCAGGGAAGGAACCUGGAGAUAGGAGCUGAUUCAGAGCCACGGAGGAGUGCCAUGGCUUGCUCAGUCUGCUUUCUUAUUGAACCCAGAACUGUCAGCCCAGGGAUGGCACCAUCAACAAUGGGCUGGACCCUCCCCCAUUGAUCACUAAUUGAGAAAACGCCUUCCAGCGGGGUCUCAUGGAGGCAUUUCCUCAACUGAGGCUCCUUCCUCUCUGAUGACUCUAGCUUGUGUCAAGUGACACAAAACCAGCCAGUACAACAUGCCACCAUGUAUUUUACAUAAAAUAAUCUCAAAACAACAACAAAUAACACGGAAAGUACAUUUUUUCACUCCCCCCCCCCAUUUUAGUUUACAGUACAUAGUCGUCGCUUCUAAAAUCAAAAGUACAAAAGUAAAAGUAAAAUCACACAAAAAUCUCAAAGAUAGCUUCUUCUAUAAUGCUGCCUGCCACUUUUCUAGCUAUCUUAUCACACACACGUAUACACAGGGUUUUGUAUGACUGUAUCAAGUCAGAUGCAUACUGUUUUCUACACCGAGUUUAGAGAAAUAAUACGUUGUAAACAUCUAAUGUCUUUCAAGAUAGGUCUGUUCUUUUUAUGUGGUUGUGCAGUCUAAUUGAGCAAUAAAUUAUUAAGUCAGUCAUUGUUAAAGGACAGAUGGUUUCCAAAGCUUUCACCAGCAGAAAGUGGUGCUAUAGACAUAGCCCGUGUAUCCAUCUUUGAGUGCUUUUUGUAGUUACAGACUAAGAACACAACCCUAGAAGAGAAAUCACUAGAUCAAAAGGGUGGAUGGAUCUGCUUUUAAAUUGUCCCAGCAGAGGCUAGAAGAAAGUGUUGGAUACCCUGGGACUGGACUUACGUACAGCUGUAACCUGCCAUGUGGGUGCUGGAAACUAAACCUGGAUCCUCUGGAAGAGCAGCUAGUUCUCAUAAACUCUCAGCCUUUUCUCCCUGAAGGUCCAUUCUUAAUACACACCAUUAUAGCAAGUCCUUUUCAUCUUUGGCAAACUGUUAAAGAGUACGAACAAAAUAUCACACAAGUGAAGGCCUCAUAAAAAGUCAGAUCUGCUAAUAACGUGGGCGUCUAGAAGGCUGGGGGCUGUAGUGGUCAUCGUCACUCUUUGAACUUCAUCGUGACGCCCAAGGAUGCCAAGAAGAAGAAAGAUGCCGGAAAGUCAGCCAAAAAGGCAAAGGCCCAGUAAAUAAGUCUGGUGGCAAGGCUAAAGAGAAGUGGUCCAAAGGCAGAGUUCUGGACAAGCUCAACAAUCUGGCCCUGUUUGACAGAGCUGCAUACGACAACCUCUGUAAGGAGGUUCCCAACUACAAGCUCAUCACUCCAGCUGUGGUCUCCGAGAGACGGAAGAUUCGAGGUCCUUUGCCCAGGGCAGCCCUUCGGGAGUUACUUAGUAAAGGACUCAUCAAGCUGGUUUCAAAGCAGAGCCCAAGUAAUUUCCACCAGAAACACAAAGGGUGGAGAUGCCCCAGCUGCUGGUGAAGAUGCAUGAGCAGGUUCAAUCAGCUGUACAUUUGGAAAAACAAAACUUUAUUAAUUCAAAUGGAAAAAAAACCCCAAAAUGAAUAAAUAAAUGUAAUCAAAUAUU